UGAUAAGAUUUGACAGUUGAUUUAAAACGAAUCUAUUCGUAUAAAUUUUAUUGAAUUUGAGUGACAUUAUAUUUUCCAUAAGAUGUGUGCGAUGUCCUUUAGAGGUUUGCAUAAAUAUUCCAAAUCAAUGGUACGCUUAAAUGGACAAAAAUCCAUGUUUUCAUGUAAAAUUAUCUUUUGUCAUUCACAUGGCAACAUGGUUUUAUGAUCAUUGUAGCUUCCGAAAUUAGUGACAGUACAUAACCACGAAAUACAUCAAAUUUGUUUCCAACCAUUAAAAGUGUGUUCUGGGAAUCCACAGAAUUUAUUUAUUAAAAUAUAAUCAUAAAUCACUAUAAUAUUAAUAAACCUAAUGUAAUCUAACUAACGUAACAAAACCUAACCAGAACUAACCUGACCCUUGUAAUAAAGCAGUCAUUUUGUGUUAAAAAUGCGUCAGACUAAGUAAAAUGACAUAUUUAAAAAUUGUAAUUUUCAUAAGAAAACAUAUUUUAUACAACUAUGCCAACACUGUUAAGAUUCUCCUUCUUGGGUGGUUGUCAUUCCUGUGGUUUCUUAUUGUUUCAUGGUAUAUGAAAAGCAAAGAAACAUGAAACGUAAAACAUGUUUCAUGAAAAUAAAACACAGGUAAACAAAUCUUGAAGUCCGCCUACCAAUGAAACAAGUGUGAUUCAUGCUCAUAAAACAUUUUUAUUUUCGGAGAGUUUCAUAAAUGGCCGGACUAUUUGUUUAGCAGUGUUUUAUUUCCAUGAAACGUAAUUUACGUUUGUUUAGCAGUGUUUUAUUUCCAUGAAACGUAAUUUACGUUUCAUGUUUCUUUGAUAUGCCUGCCUAAUGGCGGAAAAUGGUGGUGAUUUUUAAAAAUAAGACAUUUUAAAUUGCAAUUACAGUACAACCUCAUUAAUCCGGACCUCGUUCAUCCGGAUGUCCGGAUUAUCCAGAUCAAUCCGGAAUGAAAAAAUAGCUGAAAGAAUGAAAAUCCAGCUGAACUAAUGAUGGUGAAACGUUUACGUGAUCGUGCCGCAUUGAAAGGUCACACAAAAUUAAAAAAAAGGAAGAUCAAUGACUUUUUUGUAAAUACAAACUAAUGCUCGCGUAAAUCAUAUAGGGUGUAAAUAUAGUAAGUUAUCAUUUCACAUGUAUUUUUUUUAACCUUAUUAUAUUUCCGGAUUAUCCGGAUUUUUGAUUUACUGGAUCGCUUCCGGUCCCAGUUAGUCCGGUUAAACGAGGUUGUACUGUACAAGAAAAAUACCGCUCGCCCCCAA
rnacentral:lncRNA from 1 species